UACGAAGGGGGCUAGCGUUGUUCGGAAUUACUGGGCGUAAAGGGCGCGUAGGCGGUCCUUCAAGUCAGGCGUGAAAGCCCCGGGCUCAACCUGGGAACCGCGCUUGAGACUGGCGGGCUAGAGUUCGGGAGAGGAUGGUGGAAUUCCCAGUGUAGAGGUGAAAUUCGUAGAUAUUGGGAGGAACACCGAUGGCGAAGGCAGCCAUCUGGACCGACACUGACGCUGAGGCGCGAAAGCGUGGGGAGCAAACAGG
rnacentral:rRNA from 1 species